UACGUAGGGUGCGAGCGUUAAUCGGAAUUACUGGGCGUAAAGCGUGCGCAGGCGGUUGUGCAAGACAGAUGUGAAAUCCCCGGGCUUAACCUGGGAAUUGCAUUUGUGACUGCACGGCUAGAGUGUGUCAGAGGGGGGUAGAAUUCCACGUGUAGCAGUGAAAUGCGUAGAGAUCCGGAGGAACACCAAAGGCGAAGGCAGUGUCCUGGGGAGUACCUGACGCUCAGGUGCGAAAGCCAGGGGAGCGAACGGG
rnacentral:rRNA from 1 species